rnacentral:rRNA from 1 species
UACGUAGGGGGCAAGCGUUGUCCGGAUUUAUUGGGCGUAAAGAGCGUGUAGGCGGCCUGGAAGGUCAGCUGUGAAAACUCGAGGCUCAACCUCGAGACGUCGGUUGAAACCACCUGGCUAGAGUCCGGAAGAGGCGAGUGGAAUUCCCGGUGUAGCGGUGAAAUGCGCAGAUAUCGGGAGGAACACCAAUGGCGAAGGCAGCUCGCUGGGACGGUACUGACGCUGAGGCGCGAAAGCGUGGGGAGCGAACAGG